GACGAACGCUGGCGGCGUGCUUAACACAUGCAAGUCGAACGGAAAGGUCCGGCUUUUGUGGGGUGCACGAGUGGCGAACGGGUGAGUAACACGUGAGUAACCUGCCCUUGACUGAGGGAGAACUACAGGAAACAGGGGCUAAUACCGGAGAGGAGCUCUUGCUGCACGGGGGUGGUUGGAAAGUGGCGGUGGUUGGGGAUGGUCUCGCGGCUUAUCAGCUUGGUGGUGGGGUUGGGGCGUACCACGGCUUUGACGGGUCGCCGGCCUGGGAGGGUGACCGGGCACAUUGGGCCUGGGGUAGGCCCCAGACUGCAACGGGCGGCAGCGGUGGGAAAUCUUGCGCAAUAGGCCGAGGCCUGAUGCAGCGGCGCCGCGUGCGGAAUGACUGCCUUCGGGGUGUAAACCGCUUUCGCCUGUGACGUAGCGUGAGUGACGGUAACGGAUCAGAAAGCACCGGCUAACUACGUG
rnacentral:rRNA from 1 species